AGAAAGAGAGACAGACAGGUGGAGAGAGAGAGAAAGACAGGUGGACAGAGGAAGACAGGUGGAGAGAGACAGACAGAUGGAGAGAGACAGACAGGUGGAGAGAGACAGACAGGUGGAGGGAGACAGACAGGUGGAGAGAGAGACAGACAGGUGGAGAGAGGAAGAGACAGGUUGAG